GCAUCAGUGGUGUAGCGGUAACAUUGGGUCUUCCCAUCUGCAUUUAGCUUGCAUUGAUAGCUUGGCCUAGCUCCGGGUUCGACUCCCGGCUGAUGCA